rnacentral:rRNA from 1 species
AACGAACGCUGGCGGCAGGCCUAACACAUGCAAGUCGAGCGGACGCGAGCGAUUGCGUCAGCGGCGCACGGGUGAGUAACGCGUGGGAACCUGCCCUUUGGUUUGGAACAACCCUGGGAAACUAGGGCUGAUACCGGAUACGCCUCUGCGAGGAGGGAAAAAUUUAUCGCCGAAGGAGGGGCCCGCGUCCGAUUAGCUAGUUGGUGGGGUAACGGCCUACCAAGGCUGCGAUCGGUAGCCGGUCUGAGAGGACGAUCGGCCACACUGGGACUGAGGCACGGUCCAGACUCCUACGGGAGGCAGCAGUGAGGAAUAUUGGUCAAUGGCCGAAAGGCUGAACCAGCAACGCCGCGUGAGGGAUGAAGGUCUAAGGAUUGUAAACCUCUGUUAGGAGGGACGAAUGAUUCCGUAACGAACUUACGGAAUGUCACGGUACCUCCAGAGAAAGCCCCGGCUAACUCCGUGCCAGCCGCCGCUGUAAU